ACACGACUACAUUAGAUACCCCUGUAGUCCUAGCCGUAAACGAUACUCGCUAGGUGUCGGCCACGGUGCGACCGUUGUCGGUGCCGUAGGGAAGCCGUGAAGCGAGCCGCCUGGGAAGUACGGCCGCAAGGCUGAAACUUAAAGGAAUUGGCGGGGGAGCACAACAACGGGUGGAGCUUGCGGUUUAAUUGGAUUCUACGCCGGAAAUCUUACCGGGACCGACAGCAACAUGAAGGCCAAGCUGAAGACUUUGCCGGAUUAGCUG
rnacentral:rRNA from 1 species